rnacentral:rRNA from 1 species
ACGGGGCGCAGCAGGCGCGAAAACUUGGCAAUGCGAGCAAUCGUGAUCAGGGAACUCCAAGUGGCUGGGGUAAGACCCAGUCUUUUCAUAACUCUUCAAAGGUUGUAGAAUAAGGGGUGGGUAAGGACGGUGCCAGCAGCCGCGGUAAU